rnacentral:rRNA from 1 species
AUUGAACGCUGGCGGCAGGCCUAACACAUGCAAGUCGAACGGUAACAGGGAUCAGCUUGCUGAUUCGCUGACGAGUGGCGGACGGGUGAGUAAUGUCUUGGAAACUGCCUGAUGGAGGGGGAUAACUACUGGAAACGGUAGCUAAUACCGCAUAACGUCGCAAGACCAAAGAGGGGGACCUUCGGGCCUCUUGCCAUCGGAUGUGCCCAGAUGGGGUUGGCGAGUAGGUGGGGUAACGGCUCACCUAGGCGACGAUCCCUAGCUGGUCUGAGAGGAUGACCAGCCACACUGGAACUGAGACACGGUCCAGACUCCUACGGGAGGCAGCAGUGGGGAAUAUUGCACAAUGGGCGCAAGCCUGAUGCAGCCAUGCCGCGUGUAUGAAGAAGGCCUUCGGGUUGUAAAGUACUUUCAGCGGGGAGGAAGGGAGUAAAGUUAAUACCUUUGCUCAUUGACGUUACCCGCAGAAGAAGCACCGGCUAACUCCGUG